rnacentral:rRNA from 1 species
AGAUUGAACGCUGGCGACAUGCCUAACACAUGCAAGUCGAACGGGAGUAGCAAUACUCUAGUGGCGGACGGGUGAGGAAUACGUAGGAAUUUGCCCUUAAGUGGGGGAUAACCCGGGGAAACCCGGAUUAAUACCGCGAUGACCUCGAAAGAGCAAAGUGGGGGAUCGCAAGACCUCACGCUUUUGGAGAAGCCUACGUCGGAUUAGCUAGUUGUGAGGUAAUGGCUCACCAAGGCGACGAUCCGUAACUGGUCUGAGAGGAUGAUCAGUCACGACCGGAACUGAGACACGGUACCGGACUCCGUACGGGAGGCAGCAGGUGGGGAAUAGUUGGACAAGUGGGCACGAAGCCUAGGACUCCGAAGAC